GAACAGAGUGCUUUUCUAUCAGCUAGCUCUCUGUAUAAUAAUCCUUUGCUUUUCUCUAUCAAGGCUCGCAACUUCAAAGGCUUUUAUUACAGAUAAAUCAAGGUAUCAUUUCUCUGCCCUUUGAAGGACAGCCGGGGGAAUUUUUGGCACGCUGCAGCUUUCUUUUUUGUAUGCAGCUUUGCAUGUUUUCUUCCAUUGGCAUCAUUUCUUAACCUCAAAGAGGGCUGUGGUCACCUGGAAUAUGGAACACAGCCACUAAAAGAGAAGCAUCCCUUCUAACAAGGAUCAGGAUACUGAAGAAGAAAGGCUAUAUUGGACCAAAAGCUCUGCAGACAUAUUGUGUGCAUGUUUUCCAAAAAAUCUCCCUUUCUUUUGGAAUUUUUUUUAAAAAGAGGCGAGGUUGGAGUUACUAAAGAGUAUCAGUAGAAACUAAAGUCACAAUCAUCCAUGCUAUGUGAAAGAAAGACAGUGAAGAAAGACAGGGACAAAAAUCAAUUCAUUUGAAUUUUGUUGGAGGAGAGCUGUACAUGAAAGACAGCCAGAAAAGUACAAAAGUGGGUGCUGAAUAAAGUAAAGCCUGAACUCUCACUAAAAUGAGUAACCUGAGCCUAUCCUACCUUGCACAUAUAACAGAAAUACAGAAGUAACCAGAAUAGACUACAUUGCUGCGAAAAGUGGGGUGAAGCAAAAAGAAACAAGGAAGAGCUAACAAAAGAUGGGUUUACUCAACUGAUGAAGUUGCAGCUGUUAGUUUGCAAGAUUUGAGCAGAACUUAUUGGAAAAGAUAAUAUUGUUAGAAGGGGGCAGUAGGAGGAGGAGACAAGCUAAUCUGAGAGCUAAUUUGAGAGAAAACAAGCUAAUCUCUACUUUUUUGGAUACAGUGGAUCAAGCAGAGAUGUCCACCACUCUGCCUUGCCCAAUGAGUCUUGAUCUUUUUCAGCCUAUGACACCAGACAUUGUUGCCAAAGCACUUGAUUGCUGUCAGGCCACCACCUCAUCCCUUGACCCUUGUCUGGCCUGGCUAAUCAAAGCAGCCAGGCCUAUAACAACUGAAUGGGCCACAGCAAUAAUUAAUUAGUCUUUCCGUCAGGGAUCACCCACUGUGACCUAAGAAACAGUAUGUGCUCCUCCCUUAUUGUUACUCCCUCCCUUUCUCCCAGCCAUCUAAGCUGGGAUGGUGAUCCUGCUGAGUCUUGAUCCUGUCUGUGCAGUUGGGUCAAACAACUGCCUCCAGCUCCAGUUGAUUCCAUAUUAGCUUCUCCUAUCUCUUUUUCUCCCCUGGGCAUUUUCAAAAAACAUCUUUAAACCUGGCUAUUUAGGCAAGCCUUCCCUCCGGACACUACUUAAUUUAUCUUUUUAUCUUCCAUCUUGAAUGACUGUUUAUUGUUGUGAAAUUGUUAUAAAAUUGUUGCCAUAUUACAAUUGUUUUUAUUCUACUUGUUGUGA